rnacentral:rRNA from 1 species
AGCGAACGCUGGCGGCAGGCCUAACACAUGCAAGUCGAACGAAGUCUUCGGACUUAGUGGCGGACGGGUGAGUAACACGUGGGAACGUGCCUUUAGGCUCGGCAUAACUCAGGGAAACUUGUGCUAAUACCGAAUGUGCCCUUCGGGGGAAAGAUUUAUCGCCUUUAGAGCGGCCCGCGUCUGAUUAGCUAGUUGGUGAGGUAAAGGCUCACCAAGGCUACGAUCAGUAGCUGGUCUGAGAGGAUGACCAGCCACAUUGGGACUGAGACACGGCCCAAACUCCUACGGGAGGCAGCAGUGGGGAAUCUUGCGCAAUGGGCGAAAGCCUGACGCAGCCAUGCCGCGUGGAUGAUGAAGGUCUUAGGAUUGUAAAAUCCUUUCACCGGUGAAGAUAAUGACUGUAGCCGGAGAAGAAGCCCCGGCUAACUUCGUGCCAGCCGCCGCUGUAAUAC